GUGACCUUGAAGCGAUUCAAUUUCUUUAUGCUACACUGAGGCCAUCACCACCUCUCACAGCUGUGACAUCUUCCUUCCUGCCUCACCCCCACCGUUUCAUCCCUCACUUGCGCUCCCCCUCUGUGGUUUCUUCGAAAGCCGGCGAAUGGACUACGCGAGCUGAGGCCAAGCUGCUGCCAAGGUGAUAAACAGUUAAAGUGGGGGAGGAGAGGGAGAGCGAGGGUGCAAAAGAGAGCAGAGCAGCGGCCCAAAGACAGAGAGAGAAUGGAGAAAAUGAUUGGGAGCAGACGCAAGGGUCAAGUGUCACUGCUGCGCUGUUUGUUGUUAUGAGACAAGACAACCUGCUCAACACCCACCCAGCUGUGGACAGUGCUCUGUAUAAAACAUUAGGUACAUAAUAUCGCAGUGACUAUAAGUCAUAUUUGAACAACAAACAGGAGGCACACCGUAUCGAAUAAAUAUUUGCUGUCGUCUAACAAAUUUAAACAAUAAAGGACA